rnacentral:rRNA from 1 species
ACAAAAACAUCUCUUCUUGUUAGUUUUUGAAGUAUGGCCUGCCCACUGACGCUUAUUUGUUGAAGGGCCGCGGUAUUUUGACCGUGCAAAGGUAGCAUAAUCAUUAGUUCUUUAAUUGUGAUCUGGUAUGAAUGGCUUGACGAGACAUGAACUGUCUUAAAUGGAUAUUUGAUUGAACUUGGUCUUUGAGUUAAAAUUCUUAAAUGUUUUUAUGGGACGAGAAGACCCUAUAGAGUUUGACACUUAAGGUUUCUUUAACAUUGUUUUGUUUGUUUCAUUUUAUUAAGUAAUUUAAGUGUUUUGUUGGGGUGAUGGGAAGAAUUUAUUUAACUCUUCUUUAUUUUGUAUAUUUAUUUAUAAAUUUUUGAUCCAUUUAUGUUGAUUAUAAGAUUAAAUUACCUUAGGGAUAACAGCGUUAUCUUCCCUGAGAGUUCUUAUUGGCGGGGGGGUUUGCGACCUCGAUGUUGGAUUAAGGUGAAUUUUCGGUGUAGGAGCUGAAAGUGAUUG